AUGUAUCGGCAGAGAGGUGGGAUGGCAGCCACGGACAUGCACAUGGGAAGGAAGAGAGAGUAUGCAUGUGAGAAGAAGCCUGGGAGACACCCCUGGGGACUUGGAUGCCGCCAGCUUGCCCACCAGGGUGCUAGAAGCAACCACCUUGCCAGCAAGGAUCCACUGUCAUUUCUGCCAGUUCAAUGCCCUUGUGUGAGAUCUGGAAGGCAGAAGCCAAAUGAAGUCAUCCUUCCUCCAGCAGGAGCAGUACCCAAUGACAGACCACCACAGUAA
rnacentral:lncRNA from 13 species